UCUAAACAUGUUCCAGGUUCAAACCAGCACAUCCUUCCCACUGUCUAUAAAGCCCACUAAUGAAGAAGCCCUGGGAACAGAGCGGGGUCAAAGUGUUUGUUACCGAACUUAUUGCGGCAGCACAGAGCGCACGUGACAGGAACUUCCUACGGAAGUGGCCUGUGUGGGCAGAGUCUGAGGAAGACGGAACCAGGAACCUGGGGUGGGCUGGCGGCUGUCGAGAGUUUUGUGACCACAUGUUUCCACAGGACACAGCUGUAUGAAUUUGCAGCUGGAAUGAAUUUGCAACUGGGAUAAUACAUAAGCAGGAAAAUAUGCAGAGAAUUCAUAUGAAGAGAUAAAGCUUUGAAGGAAAGGCCCAGCUAGCGCUGAAGCAGUUGAAGUUGAAAAAUCAUACUCACAGAAGAAGAACUGACUCCAUGCAGGAGAAAAGCCUUUAUAUGUAAAUAGGAUGUAAAUAGUAUGGAGAGUAAACUCAAGCCCAUUCCUGGCCAGCUCCACUGUUGAAAGGAUGUGAACUGAGGAAGUAGGAUGGAAUGAGGCACAGGGACUUGUCUGCAAUGCUACCAACAAAAGUUUCAGUGUUGGUCUGUUCACACACAUCUAAACUCCAGAGCAAAGAUGAACUGUCUGGUCACUACGCCAGCCACUUUCACGGAUAUGCAUCACCUCAGCAGCAGAGGAAAGAACACUUCCCAGAAGUGAAGGAAGUUGACUUCGGGGGCCAGACUCUGCAACUGAUAGUUGUGUGACUUUGGUAAACCUUUCAAGAUGGGACUCUGACCCAAUUAUUGAAGGAGCCUGACUAGAUUAGGGGUAACAAAUUUGACACCUACGGACAGGUUUCAUUGCAAGACAAAUCCAUUGUGUUUUGUCAGCCUUCAAAAUGCCAGAUAGGCAGAACAUUCACUUUCUAGUAUAUCAUAGCCCUACUCCUUCAUCAGAAAACAGCAAAAUUCUGUAAAGCAAUUAUCCUUCAAUAAAAAUAAUAAAUUAAAAAAAGAAAAGAAUAUCUUUUCUAAAUUCAUA
ensembl:lncRNA